GAGGUUGUGGCUCAGUGGUAGAGUGCUUGCCUAGCACAUGAGAGGCCCUGGGUUCAAUGCCCAGCACCACA
rnacentral:tRNA from 1 species